rnacentral:lncRNA from 1 species
GAGGCUCUCCACACAGGUUCCUACUGAGAGGUCAGGCAGCAGCACCUACGUGUUUGCGAAACAGGUCAGCGUGGGGUCCAAGCUGAGGAUCAGCUUCCCGGACAAACUGCAUCACAUCCUCGACUGUCCAUGAGGAGGGGUCCCGGCCACUCAGUCGAGAGGCAUCGCGGCUCUCCAGGAUCGAUGAGCAGAAGAGUGGCAGAAUGGCACAGCAGAGAAGGAGGGAAGAGAAGGAGCAUCUGAACACUGAGAGGAGUUUGGCUGGGGAUGGUCAGAGAGGAGAUCAGCUGCUGGUCAGCCAAACU